rnacentral:rRNA from 1 species
UGGUGACCAUAGCGGAGGGGUUAUACCCGUUCCCAUUCCGAACACGGCAGUCAAGCCCUCCUACGCCAAUGAUACUACGCUACUUAAACGUGGGAAAGUAGGUCGUCGCCA